rnacentral:rRNA from 1 species
GUGGCUUCGGCUACCACUUACAGAUGGACCCGCGGCGCAUUAGCUAGUUGGUGAGGUAACGGCUCACCAAGGCAACGAUGCGUAGCCGACCUGAGAGGGUGAUCGGCCACACUGGGACUGAGACACGGCCCAGACUCCUACGGGAGGCAGCAGUAGGGAAUCUUCCGCAAUGGACGAAAGUCUGACGGAGCAACGCCGCGUGAGUGAUGGAAGGUUUUCGGAUCGUAAAGCUCUGUUGUUAGGGAAGAACAAGUACCGUUCGAAUAGGGCGGUACCUUGACGGUACCUAACCAGAAAGCCACGGCUAACUACGUGCCAGCAGCCGCGGUAAUACGUAGGUGGCAAGCGUUGUCCGGAAUUAUUGGGCGUAAAGGGCUCGCAGGCGGUUUCUUAAGUCUGAUGUGAAAGCCCCCGGCUCAA